AUGUUCAACUCCCUGUCGUUUGUGGCCACCACCGCCGUCGACGCUGUUGUGCUCGGCACCGAUUCUGCCUCGGUGGCGUGCUCGGGGCGGCGCUCGUCGUCGUCGGCUUCUACGCGUUCCUCUGGGGCAGCAAGACCAAGGAGACCGCCGCCGCCGCCAAGGGGGACAACGGCGAGCAGGAGCUACGGCGAGGAGACGCCGACGACUGCAUCGCGCUAG
rnacentral:rRNA from 1 species